rnacentral:rRNA from 1 species
UACGUAGGGGGCAAGCGUUGUCCGGAAUUAUUGGGCGUAAAGAGCGCGUAGGCGGUCCGAUAAGUCGGCUGUGAAAGUCAGGGGCUCAACCCUUGAAAGCCGGCCGAUACUGUCGGACUAGAGUCCGGAAGAGGCAAGUGGAAUUCCCGGUGUAGCGGUGAAAUGCGCAGAUAUCGGGAGGAACACCAAUGGCGAAGGCAGCUUGCUGGGACGGUACUGACGCUGAGGCGCGAAAGCGUGGGGAGCAAAGCAG